ACCUGCUCCCACAGCGUGGUGGCUGCUUUCCCCGUGAAGAUGAUCAAGUAUUGGUUUCCCACUUUCCACAAAUUCGGCUGCCAGUAAAUGAACACGUCGAGGCUGGACAGAUCGCGAACGACGAGGAUCCAGGUCUCAAUCGAAUUCUCGCCGACGUGUCUGAGCAGAAGUUCGACAAAGCUCGAUUGAAACUCUGGCAGAAUUACGGAGAACGUGAGUGGACGAAAAUCGGGGGAUCGUCGAAUGAAGUUCAACAGCUGUCGCAGAUUGUCACUCUCUCGACUGGAUGAAGAUUUGUCCUCGAUCGACGAGCAGAAUUUAUUGUAGUUCCGCGAGUGUUUCGCCGAUACGGACUUGAAGAGGAAUAAGGCGCCAAGGGAGAUCAGUGAUUCACACUGCUCGGAGAUUUUUUAUUUUCUGUUCUUCAAAGGAUAUCGCAAGAAUUUAACGACGAAAGGCUGACGUCGAGUAGGAUAGUUUUAUAGUUCCCUUGCCUGUUUUUUAAUCAGUCACUUUGUUUACCAUCACUGAAUCGAAUUAUGCGACUACAUCUCCAGUUUUUAAAGCUCUUUCUACUCUUUUAAUUAAGUAUUAAUUUAUAUUAAUAUUUAUGUUAAUAUUAAUAUUAACAUUUAGUAUUAACAUGACAGACGGUUGAUCAUUCAUCAUAACAAAAAAAAAAAAAAAAUGACAUCUAGAAUAACUUUUAUAAGCUUUUAGAUUAUUUUUAGCGAUCUAACUUCCCUAUCACCACUGAAUCGCACUACGUAGCUCUCCAGGCAGUUUAAAGUUCAAUCUUUUUUACACGCUAGAAGAACGAUUUAUUUACCAUUAAUAUUACAUAGAUGACAGCUGUUGAUCAUCUUGGAAAAAUACACUCGCGGUAACGUCGAAAACUGAAAGAUGCUAUCUGCUUAUGUGAAUGCAAGCGAUUUCAAGCUAGAACGCGAAACCGUUACGAGAAUGGCGCGUGUGCGAAUAUUUAUGCACCGGUUCGAUGAAAAACUUAUGGAAAUAAGAGACUCCUCGUGAGAUUAGAAUCGAAGAAGAAUCAUGGUUGACAACUAGAUUGUAUUUAAUCCUUUGAAUCGAUAUUGCAAAAUGGUGCAAACACCAUUUAUCUGAGGAGGCAAAAAAAAUAAUCAUCGAUGUAGAUACAAAGUGAAGAAAUCGCGAACUCUGUUCGAUAACGCAAACACGUCUCUUCCUUUUUUUUUACGUUUUUAUCAGAAAUCGAACAUAAGUACAUCGGAUACUUAUUGAAGAAUAUGAUUAGAACAUUGAAAUAAUUUUUGGCCGUAUUAUUUAAUGACCAAUUAAUCUAGUGAUUUAAUGAAAUGAUAUAAAAUUUUGUAUUUGGAAAAUCUCUGCAAAUGCAAUAUUCAAUAAUUCAAGCGGUAUGAAAAGAAAGUACAGGCUCAAAUUAAACAUUUUUUG